GAUGAACGCUGGCGGCGUGCUUAACACAUGCAAGUCGAACGGAAAGGCCCAAGCUUGCUUGGGUACUCGAGUGGCGAACGGGUGAGUAACACGUGGGUGAUCUGCCCUGCACUUCGGGAUAAGCCUGGGAAACUGGGUCUAAUACCGGAUAGGACCACUUCUUGGAUGUUGUGGUGGAAAGUUUUUUCGGUGUGGGCUGAGCUCGCGGCCUAUCAGCUUGUUGGUGGGGUAAUGGCCUACCAAGGCGUCGACGGGUAGCCGGCCUGAGAGGGUGUACGGCCACAUUGGGACUGAGAUACGGCCCAGACUCCUACGGGAGGCAGCAGUGGGGAAUAUUGCACAAUGGGCGCAAGCCUGAUGCAGCGACGCCGCGUGGGGGAUGACGGCCUUCGGGUUGUAAACUCCUUUCGCUAGGGACGAAGCGUUUUGUGACGGUACCUGGAGAAGAAGCACCGGCUAACUACGUG
rnacentral:rRNA from 1 species